rnacentral:rRNA from 1 species
GACAGAGGUCUCGAGCGUUAGGCGGAAUCACUGGGCUUAAAGCGUGUGUAGGCGGCUCGAUAAGUCUGCUGUGAAAGUCCAGGGCUCAACCCUGGGAUGCCGGUGGAUACUGUCGAGCUCGAGUCCGGAAGAGGCGAGUGGAAUUCCUGGUGUAGCGGUGAAAUGCGCAGAUAUCAGGAGGAACACCAAUGGCGAAGGCAGCUCGCUGGGACGUGACCGACGCUGAGACGCGAAAGCGUGGGGAGCAAACAGG